UACAGAGGUCUCAAGCGUUAGGCGGAAUCACUGGGCUUAAAGCGCGUGUAGGCGGCUUUGCAAGUCGGAUGUGAAAGCCCUCGGCUCAACCGAGGAAGUGCGUUCGAAACUGCAGAGCUUGAGUACCGGAGAGGGUGGCGGAAUUCCCCAAGUAGAGGUGAAAUUCGUAGAUAUGGGGAGGAACACCGGUGGCGAAGGCGGCCACCUGGACGGUCACUGACGCUGAGACGCGAAAGCGUGGGUAGCAAACAGG
rnacentral:rRNA from 1 species